GAUGAACGCUGGCGGCGUGCCUAAUACAUGCAAGUCGAGCGAACGGACGAGAAGCUUGCUUCUCUGAUGUUAGCGGCGGACGGGUGAGUAACACGUGGAUAACCUACCUAUAAGACUGGGAUAACUUCGGGAAACCGGAGCUAAUACCGGAUGAUAUUUUGAACCGCAUGGUUCAAAAGUGAAAGACGGUCUUGCUGUCACUUAUAGAUGGAUCCGCGCUGCAUUAGCUAGUUGGUAAGGUAACGGCUUACCAAGGCAACGAUGCAUAGCCGACCUGAGAGGGUGAUCGCUGACACUACAACUGAGACACGGUCCAGACUCCUACGGGCGGCAGCAGUAGGGAAUCUUCCGCAAUGGGCGAAAGCCUGACGGAGCAGCACCACGUAAGUUAUGAAGGUCUUCGGAUCGUAAAACUCUGUUAUUAGGGAAGAACAUAUGUGUAAGUAACUGUGCACAUCUUGACGGUACCUAGUCAGAAAGCCACGGCUAACUACGUG
rnacentral:rRNA from 1 species